rnacentral:rRNA from 1 species
AGCGAACGCUGGCGGCAGGCUUAACACAUGCAAGUCGAGCGGGCACUUUCGGGUGUCCGCGGCGGACGGGUGAGUAACGCGUGGGAACGUGCCCUCUGGUCCGGAAUAACUCAGGGAAACUUGAGCUAAUACCGGAUACGCCCUUUUGGGGAAAGGCUUGCUGCCGGAGGAUCGGCCCGCGUCUGAUUAGCUAGUUGGUGAGGUAACGGCUCACCAAGGCGACGAUCAGUAGCUGGUCUGAGAGGAUGAUCAGCCACACUGGGACUGAGACACGGCCCAGACUCCUACGGGAGGCAGCAGUGGGGAAUAUUGGACAAUGGGCGCAAGCCUGAUCCAGCCAUGCCGCGUGAGUGAUGAAGGCCUUAGGGUUGUAAAGCUCUUUUAUCCGGGACGAUAAUGACGGUACCGGAGGAAUAAGCCCCGGCUAACUUCGUG